ensembl:lncRNA
GCUGUAGUGACAUAUUGGUGUGAUUCCAUGAUGGACGGCCCUCCUUCCCCCAUCUCCAUUAGAGUAUAACUUCCGUGAGGCGGGAGCCAUGUCUCCAUGUAAGUAUUGCUGAAUGAGUAGGUGAAUAGAUGAGUGGAUGGAUGGGCGGACAGGUGGUUGGAUGGAUGGAUGGAUGGAUGGAUGGAUGGAUGGACAGACGGAUGGAUGGAUGGAUGGAUGAUGGAUAGAUGGAUGGACAGAUGGAUGGUUGGAUGGAUGAAUGGACGGACAGAUGGUUGGAUGAAUGGAUAAAUGGAUGGUUGGUUGGUUGGAUGGAUGAAUAGAUGGAUGAAUGGAUGGAUGGAUGGAUGGAUGGAUGGAUGGAUGGACAGACGGAUGGAUGGAUGGAUAGAUGGAUGGACAGAUGGAUGGUUGGAUGGAUGAAUGGACGGACAGAUGGUUGGAUGAAUGGAUAAAUGGAUGGUUGGUUGGUUGGAUGGAUGAAUAGAUGGAUGAAUGGAUGGAUGGAUGGAUGGAUGGAUGGAUGGUUGGAUGAUAAAGGGCGGCGGUGAGCCCUUUCUUUGCAUGAAAGAUGAUGGUAUUCACAAUUUAGCAUUACUUGGAUGUGUCUGCUCUUUCCUCCCAAGUUUCAGAACUAAUCCUCAUAAGAGUUAAUUAAGACUUCCUAGGGGAUUAACAUCUGAGGCUUUUUUGGAGGAUUAAUUAUCAUUUGGUGUUAAUGAUGCAGCCAAACUCUCAGGAGAAGUUGUAAUCUCUGAACUCAGGCCCUGCUUCCUGCCUCAGUCCCAGCUUCGCUGACCUGCUGGUCCUCCCGUGGCCACGAAGGACAAUGGGUGUCUGAAGCCACGCUGGGGAGUGCUCCUUGUCUCCAUCCUAUUAUGGCUGCAGCUUCCCUGGACCAUGAGCUCUGAGUAUGGAAGGGAUGGAAGAGACAGGUGGUACAGUUAGGACAUCAGCAGAAAACGUAUUCUCCAUUCGAGGCCAGAAUGUGGCAUUAAAUGCGUCUGAUUUUCAGAUGGCCGAGGAGGAGUCAGGGGCCCCUUCCAGGGCAGAGAAGAAGGGAGAGGAUGCUAAACCUUCACCAUCCUCUUUCCUCAUAGAACCUCAGCCUUCUCUACAGUGUCAUCGAAGCUUCGUCGUCCCUGUGGCUCUGACACUUUGUGAGAAGUCACUUGGGGGGUCUAUGGACCUAAUCUCGGAAAGACAGUUUGGCUUUCUGAGCCAAUGUGAACAAAUAUGGCCCCAGCGCGUCAUGUCUCCCGGAAGGAGAUUUGGGGACCCGGGCGAUGGGCUCACAAGUACCUUUUCUCUGUCUUUGCUUCCACGUCCUUUCCUGGAGGCAAUGGAUGCCAUAUGUUGGAGCCGCUCAGAAGGUAAGGAAGGGUCAGGGGGUAACAGGAAAUACCAGCGAAAAACAAUAAUUGGUGUGUAUUUAAAAUUAUCACCCCACAUCAUUAGCUAUUACUAUAAUUGUUAUUACUAUAAUCAUUGGAGACAUACUGAGUUAUGGGUUCUUUUAUUAAUAAGUGAACUCCCUUCACCUCGUGCUCCCCUAUCCAAAUAA